UGGGGAAUAUUGCACAAUGGGCGCAAGCCUGAUGCAGCAACGCCGCGUGCGGGAUGACGGCCUUCGGGUUGUAAACCGCUUUCAGUAGGGACGAAGCUAACGUGACGGUACCUACAGAAGAAGGACCGGCUAACUACGUGCCAGCAGCCGCGGUGAUACGUAGGGUCCGAGCGUUGUCCGGAAUUAUUGGGCGUAAAGGGCUUGUAGGCGGUCCGUCGCGUCAGGAGUGAAAACUCGGGGCUUAACCCCGAGCCUGCUUUUGAUACGGGCGGACUAGAGGGAUGCAGGGGAGAACGGAAUUCCUGGUGGAGCGGUGGAAUGCGCAGAUAUCAGGAGGAACACCGGUGGCGAAGGCGGUUCUCUGGGCAUCACCUGACGCUGAGAAGCGAAAGCGUGGGGAGCAAACAG
rnacentral:rRNA from 1 species